AUGAGACCUCAGGUCAGGCGGGGCUACCC
rnacentral:rRNA from 2 species